CCUACGGGAGGCUGCAGUGAGGAAUAUUGGUCAAUGGGCGAGAGCCUGAACCAGCCAAGUCGCGUGAGGGAGUACUGCCCUAUGGGUUGUAAACCUCUUUUGUCGGGGAGAAAAAGCCGGACGUGUCCGGCUGUGAGAGUACCCGAAGAAAAAGCAUCGGCUAACUCCGUGCCAGCAGCCGCGGUAAUACGGAGGAUGCGAGCGUUAUCCGGAUUUAUUGGGUUAAAAGGGUGCGCAGGCGGAUUUUUAAGUCAGCGGUAAAAUCGUGGGGCUCAACCCCAUCCAGCCGUUGAAACUGGGGAUCUAGAGUGUGCGAGAGGUAUGCGGAAUGUGUGGUGUAGCGGUGAAAUGCAUAGAUAUCACGCAGAACCCCGAUUGCGAAGGCAGCAUACCGGUGCACAACUGACGCUCAGGCACGAAAGCGUGGGUAUCGAACAGGAUUAGAUACCCCAGUAGUC
rnacentral:rRNA from 1 species